GGUAGCUCAGUUGGUUAGAGCGUGGUGCUGAUAACACCAAGGUUGCAGGUUCGAUCCCUGUAUGGGACA
rnacentral:tRNA from 1 species